AGUCUUCGAUCUGUUUCUCUCUUUUUUUUUUCACUUUUAUUUUCAGUUUCUUCUUCACUGCAGGAUGAGACAGAGCUUCAUCUUCUUCACUUCUGCUGAAGAGUAAAUCGAUCUUCUUCAUUUCUUCUUUCUGCAUCUUCUUCUUCUUCUCUUUUCACUUCUUCUUUUAUGUCCUUCAGUCCUUCUUCUUCAUCUGGUUUAGGGUUCUUAAUUCUUAUGUUCUUCAUCUGCUACUGCUAGCUACUAAGGCUAAUCAUUUGAGUUGCUAAAUGGGACAUCUAUGGGAAUAUUUUGAGAAACUUGAUUCUACAAGAGCAAAGUGUAGGCACUGCUCAAAGGUAUAUGCUGCUGAUACAAAGCGAAAUGGGACAACUAAGAUGAGAUUUCAUAUACAACAAUGUCCAAUUAUUCGAGAAAUGAGGCGUAGAUUCAACCACAAAGGGAAAGAGGACUUAAAGGGAGCUUGAUAUUCAUUGUCGCAGUCUCGCAUACUUAUGGAAUGUAAAAAACCCGGUACCGGUCUUGUACCGAACCGGUACCGGAAGUACAUGUAUAACACCAGGUACAAGUACAGGUACCAGUCCUAAAUAUGAGGUACCAGUCAACACCAAGUACAGGGACCGGUACUAUAGGAGAACCGUACCGUACCGGACCAUGUGCAACCUUACCCUCAACGGUCGUUUCAGCCUCUCCACCAAUAGUUUCGACAUCCUGAGCCGCGCCGACAUCCUUCUUAGCAACUGCUCCAAAAACCUCUUGAUGAUACUCCGGUUCGUCAACAUCAGAGCCAAGGAUUACGAUACCGUUAUGAACAUGAUAAUUAAACUUACUCUCGCCUGAAGGUUCCUUAGGAUCGAUCCUUCGCCGCUUCAGUCGAGAAGCGAACCUUUCAGCCCUAGCACUGGGAUGCGGAGAUGCUUCACCACACCGAGAAUCAACGCGCUGGGAUGCUUCGUCAUGUCUCCACUUCUCCUCCAUGUCAACCAAAGCAAUGAAAGCUUGAACACGCCCUCGAACAAUGUGUAGAUGAGUGAGAGACAUAUCCUGUAUGGCCUGACCAGCCUCACGAAACAAAGAAUCAAUUUUGUUUAAUAUCUCCUCAGACGCAGAGACCCUGGGUUUGUCAACUUCAAAUCUUUUCCCCGAGGAAUUGGAAGAAUGAUCAUCACCAGGAGUUCCCAUCAUGAACUGCAGAGAAUCAUUAUGUCUACAUCGACAACCUACGUAGUAAAGAGGGCAAAAAUAAAACUACAAAAAGGAUAUGAAACAAUACCUAAAAGGAGAUAACACAAUCCUGUGGUGAUCGAUGUGAAACGAGAAGCUCGAGGUGCUCUCUUAUAUUACGCAAACCGAUAAAACCGGGGAAAAGAAAACUCUUUGCCUGCCGUACAAGAAGGUUCUAGAUACGGGAUAUCAGCUGAUUAGACACUUAUCUAUCUGGGAUGGUUGACUCACCUUGGCUGCUGAUGGAAAAGAAGUUCGUCAUUGCAAGAACAAAGCUAACGAAGCAAGAAUAAAAGGAUGUGUGAUGCCUUUUAUAUGCACGACGCCUUAAGAGUUUGGGUGAAAAAAGGAAUCCGCUUUGGAUUCAACCAUGCCCAAAUCAGCGCCAACGUCCUGUAGCUGAACCAGCAGCGCGCCAGCACAUCAGACACUCAACCUGCAUCGUCCCGUGGCCAAAGUUGCAGCGCCAGCAUCAACGUUCUGUGGCCAAAAGUUGCAACUCCAGCACCCUGUGGCCAAGCCGGAAAUACGCCAAGAUGCCAACACAAGGAUCAUAGACUACUCAUAUCUCCUGCCAAUGGUUAGUCAAAUUUUCCCUGGCAAUCUCCGCAUGUUUUGCCUUUUGGUUCCAUCCUUGUCUGUCACCAUUUCAUGCUUACCCCGCAACAAUGCUACUGUUUCGAGCUAAGCAAGGGACUUAAUGCUGAUGGUGGUUUUUAGUUCAGGGUUAAGAUUGUAAAACCUCGUAUUUAAUGUGUCGUCACUCUGCAAGGAAACGAAGCUAUGUAAAAGUGAUGAGUGUUCAACCUCUUCACUGACGCAUUUAUUGAGCAACUGAAUAUUUUCUCAUGAAAUUUGUCAUGAAUGGUGCAUGUAGCAACAAUCCCUGAUAUUCUGUAAAUUUUGGCACCUUGCCUGUAUUAUUCAGUUAAUAUAAGUUUCUUUGAAUGCCUU